GACUCACAGUCUAACCCACAACCCUCUCUCUCAAUCGCGUCUCUCCCACUUCGUUCCCAAACGCUUCGCUCAACCUCCCUCACAUCCUCAAUCGCUUCGCUACGUCUCACACCCAAAUGCCCUCAUCUCCCUCAAUCAAUCCAUCCUCGACCUCAACCCUUUCUCUCAAUCACUCUCGAAUCAUACAAAAAAACAAAGGCUGAAGCAAAAGAGAGCUCACCUCCGGUGGUGAAGACGGUAACGACGGCUCAACCUCGCUCCUUCCCUCUCCCAAAUAGGUUUGUGUUUGAUUUUUCGAUUUAGGGUUCUGUUUGCUCCGUUUUUCCAAUCCGCCUCCACUUCGUUUUCGAAAUCGCCGUUAAUUUUUUUCCUCUCCUCACUGAUUUCUCUUUCUCUCCUUUUAUGCUCCAGAUUAGGGUUUUCGGAUUUGGCCUCUAGAGCUCAAAGAAGAAAAUUUCCAGAAGUCUUUUUGAUGCUCAGAAGUGCUUUUAUCUUGUUUCACGCUACACUUCCGGAAACGGUACCUUGAACUCAAACUUUCUCUUAGAUUUUUGUCUCUUCCCUGAUUUGGGAAUUUUUGGAAUUUAACUUUUUGCUGUUAAUCUUUUGUUACUGCAGUGAAAAGGUUGCAAUGGUGAAAACGUGAGGAGCUUCGGUGGUCAAUGGAUCUAAAACAUGCUGAGUUCCAAGUGUGAGUGUGUUCUCUUUGAAUUCUGAAAAAUUUCUAUCUUGUAAUCUUUUGAAACUUCCUUAAUUGCUUCAACUUCCUCAAGAAAUACCAGAAUUUGGAUUUGGCACGAACUUCAUUGGUUGCCCAAAGCUUCAUGCGGCAAAUCUUCGGGUGCUCAUCGGUUUCCGUUGGAAGACCCCUUCCGACGACCCGGUACUGGUGAAACUUUGCCUUACCCAUUUUUACGAUGAGCAGCGAUUCCGAUUGCGACUCGCCGCCGAUUCAAGUUUUGCUGUUUUGUGAAUUAUUGUUUGUUGCAGGUGAACAAAUGGUGUUAUUGCAGAAGUUGGUAUGCUGUUUGCCACCAUUUUAUUUUGUUAAUUUUCUCUUCUAUUUCCAAG
rnacentral:lncRNA from 1 species